rnacentral:rRNA from 1 species
UACGUAGGGCGCAAGCGUUAUCCGGAAUUAUUGGGCGUAAAGAGCUCGUAGGCGGUUUGUCGCGUCUGCCGUGAAAGUCCGGGGCUCAACUCCGGAUCUGCGGUGGGUACGGGCAGACUAGAGUGAUGUAGGGGAGACUGGAAUUCCUGGUGUAGCGGUGAAAUGCGCAGAUAUCAGGAGGAACACCGGUGGCGAAGGCGGGUCUCUGGGCCGAUAUUGACGCUGGAGGCACGAAAGCGUGGGGAGCAAACAGG